GGUGGAAAGAACGAUUCUUCGUCACCCGAUUGGGGUGCGCGCGGUGGCUCGUCCUCCCCUUCUGCAGGGGCGUCGUCCUGCCCCCGUGUUCGGUACACGGGUUUCCAUCUAGCUAGAAUGAUGGUGAAGCAACCGGGACGGGACGGGAAGCUGCACUAAUUCGCACGUUUGGCGUAGAUCCGUGCUGCCGCUAUCCGACUGGAUCGCUAUAAAAGAUCACCUUCAUGGCCAAGGUUUUAACAGUGAAGUCUUGAAAGCCGUUCUGUCAACAGCAACAGUUCCCGAAGAAAAUCUUCAAAAUGAAAUUCCUAGCGCUCGUCUGCAUCUUCGCCCUGGUGUUGGCCGUCGCCUUCGCCCUGCCGGCCGUCAACGAUGAGUCUGUCGUUGCCAUCCCAUCCGAUGCCGCUCUCCUGACCGAAGCCGAGAACCCCCAGGAUCCCCAGGGAACCCUGAAGCUGCUGCUCCUGAAGAAGAAGCUGCUGCUGUUCGGUUAGACAUCUUGCCGAUGAUCGUCGAUCCCUGAUUUUGAUUUUGAUUUUGAUUUGCGGCCUUGGCCGCCUUGCACUUGGAACUUGAACCAAUUGGAACUUACCUGCAAACCUGAUGAUACCUCUGCGGAAUGCUAACCCCAAAAUGCUGCCAUGUCAUUCGACGCGUUCUAUUAGUAUAAGAGAUCAGCACACAAGCGUAGUAGCAUAGAUAUACGACAAACAGUGACAAACUGUAAAUUUAGUGAGAAUUAAUCGAAUAAAAGAUUAAAAACAACAACAAAAAACGA